rnacentral:rRNA from 1 species
CAUAGGUUAAUGAGGCGAACCGGGGGAACUGAAACAUCUAAGUACCCCGAGGAAAAGAAAUCAACCGAGAUUCCCCCAGUAGCGGCGAGCGAACGGGGAGCAGCCCAGAGCCUGAAUCAGUGUGUGUGUUAGUGGAAGCGUCUGGAAAGGCGCGCGAUACAGGGUGACAGCCCCGUACACAAAAAUGCACAUACUGUGAGCUCGAUGAGUAGGGCGGGACACGUGGUAUCCUGUCUGAAUAUGGGGGGACCAUCCUCCAAGGCUAAAUACUCCUGACUGACCGAUAGUGAACCAGUACCGUGAGGGAAAGGCGAAAAGAACCCCGGCGAGGGGAGUGAAAAAGAACCUGAAACCGUGUACGUACAAGCAGUGGGAGCACGCUUAGGCGUGUGACUGCGUACCUUUUGUAUAAUGGGUCAGCGACUUAUAUUCUGUAGCAAGGUUAACCGAAUAGGGGAGCCGAAGGGAAACCGAGUCUUAACUGGGCGUUAAGUUGCAGGGUAUAGACCCGAAACCCGGUGAUCUAGCCAUGGGCAGGUUGAAGGUUGGGUAACACUAACUGGAGGACCGAACCGACUAAUGUUGAAAAAUUAGCGGAUGACUUGUGGCUGGGGGUGAAAGGCCAAUCAAACCGGGAGAUAGCUGGUUCUCCCCGAAAGCUAUUUAGGUAGCGCCUCGUGAAUUCAUCUCCGGGGGUAGAGCACUGUUUCGGCAAGGGGGUCAUCCCGACUUACCAACCCGAUGCAAACUGCGAAUACCGGAGAAUGUUAUCACGGGAGACACACGGCGGGUGCUAACGUCCGUCGUGAAGAGGGAAACAACCCAGACCGCCAGCUAAGGUCCCAAAGUCAUGGUUAAGUGGGAAACGAUGUGGGAAGGCCCAGACAGCCAGGAUGUUGGCUUAGAAGCAGCCAUCAUUUAAAGAAAGCGUAAUAGCUCACUGGUCGAGUCGGCCUGCGCGGAAGAUGUAACGGGGCUAAACCAUGCACCGAAGCUGCGGCAGCGACGCUGAUGCGUUGUUGGGUAGGGGAGCGUUCUGUAAGCCUGUGAAGGUGUGCUGUGAGGCAUGCUGGAGGUAUCAGAAGUGCGAAUGCUGACAUAAGUAACGAUAAAGCGGGUGAAAAGCCCGCUCGCCGGAAGACCAAGGGUUCCUGUCCAACGUUAAUCGGGGCAGGG